AUGUAUGGAUGUUGUAGAGAUACACUGGCUCCGUGUGCAGACACGUGACAGCUACAUUGAACUGGAUGGGUUCACCUGCGUGAGAGCGGACAUCUGCUCGAUCCCCUCCCAACAUCCCUGGUUAAAUCCUGCCUUCCUUCUCUUCUUGCACUCAUUUCUGCUAUUAUCCACUCCUCAUUGACAUCCGGAAUUGUUCCCUCACUCCUCAAGACCGCUGCUGUUAAACCCAUCCUUAAAAAACCAGGAUCACACCCCAAUUCCUUUCAUAAUCUCCGUCCUAUUUCUAACCUCCCCUUCAUCUCCAAAAUUCUCGAAAAAAUAGUCGCCUCCCAACUUCACCAUCAUCUCAAGCAAAAUGAUCUCUUUGAACCCUUUCAAUCUGGUUUUCGUCCCCUUCAUUGCACUGAAACGGCCCUAAUAAAAAUCACAAAUGACCUUCUCCUAGCAGCUGAUUCUGGACUCAUCACCAUCCUCAUCCUUCUUGACUUGAGCACGGCAUUUGAUACCAUAUCCCACUCCAUCCUCCUCCACAGACUUUCAGCUCUCGGUAUCAAGUCCACCCCCCUUCGCUGGUUUCAUUCAGAUUUCACAAGCCGCACUCAGUUUAUCCAACUGAAUUCUUUUAAAUCUCAACCCUCACUCAUUUUCUCUGGUGUUCCUCAAGGUUCUGUUCUCGGUCCCUUCCUUUUCAUUUCCUACCUACCCCUUGGGAAUAUGUUCCGUAAGUUCAGCAUUGAUUUUCACUGUUUUGUGGAUGACACUCAGCUCUAUCUGUAGAGUAAACCGAACUCUUCUCUUCCACCUGCCUCCCUAUCCUCCUGCCUGUCUGAAAUAAAAACCUGGUUCACCUCAAACUUCCUCAAACUUAACAGCGAUAAAACCAAAUUACUCCUCGUAGGUUCAAAAUCCACCCUUUCCAAAGCUCCAAAUUUUACACUUUCCAUCGAUUCCUCUCCAGUUUUCCCCUCCCCUCUGGUAAAGAGUCUUGGUGUCAUCCUUGACAGUACAUUAUCAUUUCAGUCUCACAUCAAUAACAUUACUCGGUCUGCAUACUUUCAUCUUCGCAAUAUUAACCGUCUCUGCCCCUCUCUCACCGUCCACUCCGCCUCCAUCUUAGUUCAUAAUCUGGUCACUUCUUGCAUUGACCAUUGCAAUGCAUUUUUCUUUGGUCUCCCCAAGAAAACUCUGAAUUGUUGUUUUGUUUGUGGAGAGGGUUGAGCAGGUGAACACGCUUUAUCUCCAUCAGUGGCGUGUUUGAUGGUGGUCAGGCUUCCACUACUGUUUGUGUGGAUGAGGGGGGGCGGAGCCCUCAGAGUAUUGGGAUUCGGGUGUGUCUGGGGGUUUGGUGGGUGACGGUGAUGCAUGUCUGGCAGGAGGGGUUGAUGACGUUGAAGCGUGUGGAUCAGGGCAGGUGGGGGUCUCUGAAACGGAGAAGGCGGGGCUCCACGUCUGCAGAUGUGAGCGUUAAAGCCAGCAGACUGGUGGUCUUUCAGAGGGGGGGGCGGCUGUGUGUGACGUCAGAGACAGUGAGGGAUGCUGGUCUGACUGCAGUGAACGGUCUCAGGGCAGCUCUUUGCUGUCUGCUAGUCAGGACAUGAAGCUGGAUCCUGCUCACAUGUUCCAACUUUUGCUGCAACAAACUAAAUGUUUGAAGAAGCUGAACAUUCCCUCAUAUUUCUCUGACUUGAAAUCGUCGACCCCAGCAAACAUUGUUGCAGCUCCAGAGGACAGGUACACUCUGCUGCUGUUCUCUUUUCAUUGAUAGGAAAUGAUAUUAUGAGGACGUUUGUGUUUUUCAUUGUCACUGUCAUGAUGUGUGUUUCUGCCUCUAAGAAUCUUCCACCAUCUGCCAGGUGCUGCAGUUUGGACUGGAUCCAUUCCUCUUCCAACAAGGUCCAUGAAGACAUGGAGGACAGAGUCUGGUGUGGCUGAACUGGACUGACCUGCACAGAAUCCUGACCUGAACCAAAUAGAACACGUUUGGGGUGAAUUAGAGAGGAGACUGAGAGCCAGGCCUUCUCCACCAACAUCAGUGUGUGACCUCACCAAUGACCUUUUGGAAGAAUGGUCAGGAAUUCCUAGAAACACUCGUCAACCUUGUGGACAUCAUUCCCACGAGAGUUGAAGCUGUAAUAGCUGCAGAAGGUGGAGCCACAUCGUAUUGAACUCUAAGGGUUAAGGAUGGGACGGCACUUCAGUUCAUGUGAGUCAAGGCAGAAAUAAAGCUGCUGAACAUCAUGAUGCUGGAGCAGAAGAUGUGGCCUGCAACGUCUGCACUGGAAAAAACGACACGCCCUGAAGUCCUGUCUGACCUGCCUUACUCUUUCCUGGGAGGAACACCUUCAGCCUCAUUUGGAUGUUGCUGCACUUAAGAAACAUAAGCUGGUGGAACCUUCCAAGAACCCCCAGGAGAACAUCUGCUCCAGUCAUGACGAGGUGAUGAAGAUGUUCUGUCGCACUGAUCAGAAUCUGUUCUCUCUGAUCUGUGGAAGAACAUAACACCGUCUCCUCUGCAGCAGAAAGCCCUGAGAAGCAGGAAGAGGUGAAGUGAAGAACAAGAUAAGAUUCCAACAGCUAACUGAAGUGAGGCGAGUCAAAGGUCUUCAGGAAGAGCUGGAGCAGGAGAUGACUGAGCUGAUGAGGAGAUGCUGUGAGGAUCAGCAGAGACGGGAUAGGAAAGCAAUUAUCUGUCACUGAAACCUGUGUUCUUUGUGAUAUUAAUAAAUCAAGUCAACGUGGUA